rnacentral:sRNA from 2 species
AUGUACCACGCGUCCACUGCGGUUCUGAGCGAGCCGUCCGCGUCUACCUGACCGCUGCUCACUACGUUUUGUUAGCC